AUUGAACGCUGGCGGCAGGCUUAACACAUGCAAGUCGAGCGGGGGAAGGUAGCUUGCUACCGGACCUAGCGGCGGACGGGUGAGUAAUGCUUAGGAAUCUGCCUAUUAGUGGGGGACAACAUCUCGAAAGGGAUGCUAAUACCGCAUACGUCCUACGGGAGAAAGCAGGGGAUCUUCGGACCUUGCGCUAAUAGAUGAGCCUAAGUCGGAUUAGCUAGUUGGUGGGGUAAAGGCCUACCAAGGCGACGAUCUGUAGCGGGUCUGAGAGGAUGAUCCGCCACACUGGGACUGAGACACGGCCCAGACUCCUACGGGAGGCAGCAGUGGGGAAUAUUGGACAAUGGGGGGAACCCUGAUCCAGCCAUGCCGCGUGUGUGAAGAAGGCCUUAUGGUUGUAAAGCACUUUCAGUGAAGAAGAAGGCUGAUGUAUGAAUAGUGCAUUAGAUUGACGUUAUUCACAGAAGAAGCACCGGCUAACUCUGUGCCAGCAGCCGCAGUAA
rnacentral:rRNA from 1 species